GGGUGCUUCUGGAAGGGCCAAUGCGUUCGGGCAGCAGCCCCUGAAGCCGAGCCCGAGGCUAAGUGGGACUGACCGGGGCCCAGAGUGGACGAACCGCCAGCAUGGGGAGAGACCAGCGCGCGGUGGCCGGCCCUGCCCUACGGCGGUGGCUGCUGCUGGGGACAGUGACCGUGGGGUUCCUCGCCCAGAGCGUCUUGGCGGGUGUGAAGAAGUUUGAUGUGCCG
rnacentral:misc_RNA from 1 species